rnacentral:rRNA from 1 species
GGACACUGUCUCAGCCAUGAGCUCGGUGAAAUUGUAGUAUCGGUGAAGAUGCCGGUUACCCGCAGUGGGACGAAAAGACCCCGUGCACCUUUACUAUAGCUUCGUAUUGACCUUGGUCAAACAAUGUGUAGGAUAGCUGGGAGGAUUUGAAGCGGUGUCGCCAGGCAUCGUGGAUCCAUUGUUGAAAUACCAGCCUUUGUUUGAUCGGGGCCUAACCCUAAAACUAGGGAACAGUGCGUGGUGGGUAGUUUGACUGGGGUGGUCGCCUCCAAAAGAGUAACGGAGGCUUCUAAAGGUGCCCUCAAUACGGUUGGCAAUCGUGUGUAGAGUGCAAUGGCACAAGGGCGCUUGACUGGGAGACAUACAGGUCGAUCAGGUUGGAAACAAGAGCAUAGUGAUCCGGUGGUUCCGCAUGGAAGGGCCAUCGCUCAAAGGAUAAAAGGUACGCCGGGGAUAACAGGCUGAU